rnacentral:rRNA from 1 species
GAUGAACGCUGGCGGCGUGCCUAAUACAUGCAAGUCGAGCGAACAGAUGAGGAGCUUGCUCCUCUGACGUUAGCGGCGGACGGGUGAGUAACACGUGGAUAACCUACCUAUAAGACUGGGAUAACUUCGGGAAACCGGAGCUAAUACCGGAUAAUAUAUUGAACCGCAUGGUUCAAUAGUGAAAGACGGAUUUGCUGUCACUUAUAGAUGGAUCCGCGCCGCAUUAGCUAGUUGGUAAGGUAACGGCUUACCAAGGCAACGAUGCGUAGCCGACCUGAGAGGGUGAUCGGCCACACUGGAACUGAGACACGGUCCAGACUCCUACGGGAGGCAGCAGUAGGGAAUCUUCCGCAAUGGGCGAAAGCCUGACGGAGCAACGCCGCGUGAGUGAUGAAGGUCUUCGGAUCGUAAAACUCUGUUAUUAGGGAAGAACAAAUGUGUAAGUAACUAUGCACGUCUUGACGGUACCUAAUCAGAAAGCCACGGCUAACUACGUG